rnacentral:lncRNA from 1 species
AUGAAAUGUUGUAUGGGACUAUACCAGCCCCCCAGAGAAGGCCAGGAGGGGUGGAAGCAUGAGAGUCCAUCUUCUGAAGAUACUUCCUGCUGGAAUGAGGCAGAGUCUCAAGUCAAGGUCUCCUGGGUAGGGAGUUGGGUAUAUCCCUGUAACAGCAUCUGGUUGACUGCCUGGUUGGUGAAGACUUUGGUUUGUUCCAUUAUUACUUCCUCUAAGCAUUUGAACAGAUAAGGCAAUAUGAAAGCCAAGGUUAGUAUACUGGCAAGUGGCCCUAGGAGGGGCAUCAGGCAAGUAAUGAGAGGACUUCACAGAGGAGAGGAAAUGAGGGGGUCCUUGAACCCUAGUAAUGACUGUUUGAUAGAUGUGGUGAUUUGUUGAAGAGUUUUAACAUUUUGUUCCAUCUGGCCUGAUUGGUAAUCACAACACUGUUCUCCCAGAAAGAUAUAAGUUCCCCCCUUUUCAGCUGUCAUAAGGUCUAAAUCCCAUUUGUUCUGUAGUACCAUGCCUGCUAGUGAGGUGAUUUAGUUUUGGAGAUCACAGAUGGUGUUGGUUGAGGUUUCAGUGGACCUAGUGACGUCCUCUUGUAACUCUUGCAGUUGUUCUUGGAGUCACUUGGUCUAGAUAACAUUGAGGCCCAAAAUUGCUCCUGAAAUCACUACUGAGAAGAGGGAGGCUGUGAAACGGAUCCCAACCAAAAUGAGAGAAAGGCUGCUUAUCUCUCACGAGUGGUUUGACUGUAGAAAAAAUUCUGAAUAAUUAUACAACAUUAAGUGAGGAGAGAGGACCUCCAAUACACAGGGGCUAGGAGUAGAUUCACUGAUGCAAGUAUAUUGAGUAUGAUUACAAAGGAAUGAGGCCCCAAGUAGACUUGACAAGGAAGUAGUGGAAUUGAUGGUCAUGUUGGUAACACAGCAAUGCUGUGUUAUAGAAGUUCAUUAUGUUCUGUGGCCACAUUUGUAACCCAGCACGUUGCAUUUGGCCUCCUGAAUGUAAAGAAAAGUGACCAACAACCCUCUGAGGAUAGGGAGUACAAGUGUUUGUCAGAGCAGAGAUAUUGGCAAGUAAAGUGCCUGUGAUGGAAGUUUUCCAAAGAGGAGCACACCCAAAACAAUAUUGUUUGUAGAGGGCAGAAGGCAAGUUAGAGGGCAGAAGGCAAGCUGAUGAAGUAGAGUAAGUGUUAAAUUAAUGAGCUGUAGCCAUGUUAGAAGUGGUUUAAUAGGAUUAAUUAACU